rnacentral:rRNA from 1 species
UACGUAGGGGGCGAGCGUUGUCCGGAUUCAUUGGGCGUAAAGAGCUCGUAGGCGGCUUGGCAAGUCGGGUGUGAAAACUUCAGGCUCAACCUGGAGCGGCCACUCGAUACUGCCAUGGCUUGAGUCCGGUAGGGGACCACGGAAUUCCUGGUGUAGCGGUGAAAUGCGCAGAUAUCAGGAGGAACACCGGUGGCGAAGGCGGCUUUCUGGGCCUUACCUGACGCUGAGGAGCGAAAGCUGGGGGAGCGAACAGG